rnacentral:rRNA from 1 species
UACGGAGGGGGCUAGCGUUGUUCGGAAUUACUGGGCGUAAAGGGCGCGUAGGCGGCGAUUCAAGUCAGGCGUGAAAGGCCUGGGCUCAACCCGGGAACUGCGCUUGAUACUGGAUUGCUUGAGUCCGGGAGAGGAUGGCGGAAUUCCCAGUGUAGAGGUGAAAUUCGUAGAUAUCGGAAGGAACGCCGGUGGCGAAAGCGGCGUGCUGGACCUCUUCUGACGCUGAGGCGCGGAAGCUAGGGGAGCAAACGGG